rnacentral:rRNA from 1 species
AGCGAACGCUGGCGGCGUGCUUAACACAUGCAAGUCGAGCGAGAAAGGGGGCUUCGGCCCUGAGUACAGCGGCGAACGGGUGCGUAAUACAUGAGCAAUCUACCCUUGAGGCGGGAAUAACCCAGCGAAAGUUGGGCUAAUACCGGAUAAGACCACAAGAGGAGACCCUUGAGGCUAAAGGCAGCUUCUCGUUUUGGGGGCGGCCCUUUGAGGAGGAGCUCAUGUCCUAUCAGCUAGUUGGUAGGGUAACGGCCUACCAAGGCGAAGACGGGUAGCUGGUCUUAGAGGAUGAUCAGCCACACGGGGACUGAGACACGGCCCCGACUCCUACGGGAGGCAGCAGUGGGGAA